UGGUAAGUCAACAGCAAAUUCAAUAACGUCAAAAACAGUAAAGAUCAUUACUAUUCUUAUUACUAUUAUUAUUAUGAACAAAACACUUUUUACAGCACAAACAGCAGUAAAACCAAACGUGCUGGAGUUCUGCUGUGGUUGCUAGGUAACGGUGAAACGCGACUUAAUUAGGAGGAUUUGGGAAAAUAUUAAUUUAUUACCACAAAAUGUCAGGGUGGUUAUUUUUAAGCACUUUUGCCGUUUUUAGAAGCAUCAGAAACACAAAUGGAAGAAUAAAAAAUAUGCAAAAUAUAUAUUUAGUUCAAUAGGUUCCCUCUAAUUCAGAGAAUUGACUUUAAAAUAUUUCUGUUAGUUUAUAAAUCACUGAACGGAUUAGAAAAAAAACACAUUAAAGAUCUGCUGCUGUAUAAGCAAAUCUGGAGCAAACUUCCUGAAAACUGUAAAACAGCUGAAACACUGAGUUAAUUUAAACUAAGGCUAAAACCCCACCUGGUUACAGCUGAUCUGAUCUAUAGCAAGUGGAAUAUUGACAUUUUUGAUGACGUAAUUUGUCAAAAUGUUUGAUUGUUGCCAGGUUCCUCUUGAAAAAGAAAUUCUAGAUCUGAACCUUUUUUUAAAAAUCUGGUUAGUAUUACUAACAGUUGGUGACUGUAUGAUGAUUUUACGAUGUAAAGCACUUUGUUGCUGAAAUGUUGCUCUACAAAUAAACUUGACUGUAACCUUUCUCUCCUUUAAAGCCAUUAUUCUCCCAGCAUAAUAACUCGUAUCGUACAGUGGGGCACAUCUGUGAAAUCACAGAGUUUAAGACAAAAGCAAACGCACAAACACACCCUCACGCACACGGUGGAGAGAUUUAGGGCACGCUAGCACCCGGAUGAUGAAUGAAGCCCACACACGGCUGGAAAACAGAGCAGGACCGCUCCGACCUUGGCUGCAAACACGCAGGGGAGCGGCGGAGCGGCGCGCCCGUCCAGAAGCUCCAAUUCGACACACAGGAAGUGGUGGACGGCGGGCCGCUGAGGCCGAUGAUGAACGAGGGGGACGCAGUCGCAGGAACACCUCGGCGCCCUUCCUGAAGGUGUGAUAAAUCUAGCCGGAGCCGCCGCUGGGUUCCAGUAAAAGGACAUGUGAUCCAUGAAAGGCGAUACAGGAAGUGAUGAACACGAGCCGCGGCACUGAUAAUGGCCCAGAAUCCGUCCCGCAGCGUCCGGCGCGCUGAACUCUGACUCAUCCGAGAUGUAAUCUGUCCGCCGCGCGGCGAGCUCCAUUACGACCGGACGGCGCUGACAAUUAAACCACGACGGCCAUCGAUCAAAACGCAGCUAUCAACGCCGCCCCCCAGUGGCCGAACGGGGCCGGAGACGAGACGACAGCCAAACGAUCCAUAAACAUAAUGGACAUCAAUAUUGAAAAGAUGACAGAUGAGGCUGCCAGCAGAGGCCGGGAUUCAAUUUCUAUUCUUCUUUUUUCCUGCAGGAGGCCGGAUCGCUUUUCACAAAGUCAUUUAUCAGCCGGCAGGCCGACGGCGAGAAGCCGAGCCGCAACAUGUGAGCCGACGGCUGACGCAAACGACAAAAUGAAUCAGGCGCGCAACAAUAAUGACUGAGAUAUAAGUAAUGAUGGCAUCCAGAGCGCAGUGGGCUCCCUGCCUGUGAGAGCGCCACAGCGACAGAACAUCAGACCCACCGAAGGCUCCGACUGAACCCACAGCGUCGCUACCAUGGUUUAUAAUCUGAUGGUUUAUAAUCCAGGAUGUAAUCUGACCCCUGGCUGACCUGGCAACCUGCAGCCCAACUGAUCAGACCUUCAUGUUCUGCUUAAGCUGCUGAUAAUUUUAUACGAUUUUACUCUACAUAACAAAUUUUAAAGAGGAAGAAAUAAAAUAAAAUGCAAUAAUAUUAAAAAUAUCAAUUAUAAAAAGAAUUUGAAGAAAUUUUUUAAAGAAAUCUGAAGGAAGCGAAACAUA